rnacentral:rRNA from 1 species
UGAACGCUGGCGGCAGGCUUAACACAUGCAAGUCGAACGAUGAUUAUCUAGCUUGCUAGAUAUGAUUAGUGGCGGACGGGUGAGUAACAUUUAGGAAUCUGCCUAGUAGUGGGGGAUAGCUCGGGGAAACUCGAAUUAAUACCGCAUACGACCUACGGGUGAAAGGGGGCGCAAGCUCUUGCUAUUAGAUGAGCCUAAAUCAGAUUAGCUAGUUGGUGGGGUAAAGGCCCACCAAGGCGACGAUCUGUAACUGGUCUGAGAGGAUGAUCAGUCACACCGGAACUGAGACACGGUCCGGACUCCUACGGGAGGCAGCAGUGGGGAAUAUUGGACAAUGGGGGCAACCCUGAUCCAGCCAUGCCGCGUGUGUGAAGAAGGCCUUUUGGUUGUAAAGCACUUUAAGCAGGGAGGAGAGGCUAAUGGUUAAUACCCAUUAGAUUAGACGUUACCUGCAGAAUAAGCACCGGCUAACUCUGUGCCAGCAGCCGCGGUAAUACAGAGGGUGCGAGCGUUAAUCGGAAUUACUGGGCGUAAAGCGAGUGUAGGUGGCUCAUUAAGUCACAUGUGAAAUCCCCGGGCUUAACCUGGGAACUGCAUGUGAUACUGGUGGUGCUAGAAUAUGUGAGAGGGAAGUAGAAUUCCAGGUGUAGCGGUGAAAUGCGUAGAGAUCUGGAGGAAUACCGAUGGCGAAGGCAGCUUCCUGGCAUAAUAUUGACACUGAGAUUCGAAAGCGUGGGUAGCAAACAGGAUUAGAUACCCUGGUAGUCCACGCCGUAAACGAUGUCUACUAGCCGUUGGGGUCCUUGAGACUUUAGUGGCGCAGUUAACGCGAUAAGUAGACCGCCUGGGGAGUACGGCCGCAAGGUUAAAACUCAAAUGAAUUGACGGGGGCCCGCACAAGCGGUGGAGCAUGUGGUUUAAUUCGAUGCAACGCGAAGAACCUUACCUGGUCUUGACAUAGUGAGAAUCCUGUAGAGAUGCGGGAGUGCCUUCGGGAAUUCACAUACAGGUGCUGCAUGGCUGUCGUCAGCUCGUGUCGUGAGAUGUUGGGUUAAGUCCCGCAACGAGCGCAACCCUUUUCCUUAUUUGCCAGCGGGUUAAGCCGGGAACUUUAAGGAUACUGCCAGUGACAAACUGGAGGAAGGCGGGGACGACGUCAAGUCAUCAUGGCCCUUACGACCAGGGCUACACACGUGCUACAAUGGUAGGUACAGAGGGUUGCUACACAGCGAUGUGAUGCUAAUCUCAAAAAGCCUAUCGUAGUCCGGAUUGGAGUCUGCAACUCGACUCCAUGAAGUCGGAAUCGCUAGUAAUCGCGGAUCAGAAUGCUGCGGUGAAUACGUUCCCGGGCCU